rnacentral:rRNA from 1 species
CUACGUGCCAGCAGCCGCGGUAAUACGGAGGGUGCGAGCGUUAAUCGGAAUAACUGGGCGUAAAGGGCACGCAGGCGGUGACUUAAGUGAGGUGUGAAAGCCCCGGGCUUAACCUGGGAAUUGCAUUUCAUACUGGGUCGCUAGAGUACUUUAGGGAGGGGUAGAAUUCCACGUGWAGCGGUGAAAUGCGUAGAGAUGUGGAGGAAUACCGAAGGCGAAGGCAGCCCCUUGGGAAUGUACUGACGCUCAUGUGCGAAAGCGUGGGGAGCAAACAGGAUUAGAUACCCUGGUAGUCCACGCUGUAAACGAUGUCGAUUUGGGGGUUGAACUUUAGGUUUGGCGCCCGUAGCUAACGUGAUAAAUCGACCGCCUGGGGAGUACGGCCGCAAGGUUAAAACUCAAAUGAAUUGACGGGGGCCCGCACAAGCGGUGGAGCAUGUGGUUUAAUUCGAUGCAACGCGAAGAACCUUACCUACUCUUGACAUCCAGAGAACAUUC